rnacentral:rRNA from 1 species
CGGAGGGAUCAUUACACAACAAAAUAUGAAGGCCUGGCUUUCGCGGCCGGCUGAAGUAUUUUUUUCACCCAUGUCUUUUGCGCACUUGUUGUUUCCUGGGCGGGUUCGCCCGCCACCAGGACCAAACCAUAAACCUUUUUUUCUUAUGCAGUUUCCAUCAGCGUCAGUAAAAACAAUGUAAUUAUUACAACUUUCAACAACGGAUCUCUUGGUUCUGGCAUCGAUGAAGAACGCAGCGAAAUGCGAUACGUAGUGUGAAUUGCAGAAUUCAGUGAAUCAUCGAAUCUUUGAACGCACAUUGCGCCCUUUGGUAUUCCAAAGGGCAUGCCUGUUCGAGCGUCAUUUGUACCUUCAAGCUUUGCUUGGUGUUGGGCGUUUUUUUGUCUCCCUCUUUCUGGGAGACUCGCCUUAAAACGAUUGGCAGCCGGCCUACUGGUUUCGGAGCGCAGCACAUUUUUUGCGCUUUGUAUCAGGAGAAAAGGACGGUACUCCAUCAAGACUCUACAUUUUUCACUUUUGACCUCGGAUCAGGUAGGGAUACCCGCUGAACUUAAGCAU